AGUACACUUGCUGGGUCAUAUGGUAGUUGCAUGUUCAAUUUUAUAAGAAACUUCCAAACUAUUUUUUGCGGAGUGUACCAUUUUAUAUCUCCAACAGCAAG
rnacentral:pre_miRNA from 1 species